UCUUAAACACCACAGUGGACACGUGUGCCUUUAAAUCUCUGCAAUGAAACUUGCUCUACUGUAAAAAUAAUUGACUUAAAGGGAUAGUCCACACAUUUACAAUGUGGCUUUGUAUUGCUAGAAUAGCAGUAGUAUUUUCUUUACAAAUGUGUUUCCCUCCCUCAGUUUUCUACUGUGUUGUAAAAAAUCUGUUUUUCCUUUCCAAUUUUGCCCUCCGCUGAGUCAAAUGACACGAAACGUCGUUCAAGAGUAACGACAAUGACCGAAUGGAGUUUUCAAACUGAUACGGCUGCAAGGGAAAAUACCUGCAUUUCUGUAAUAACAAGAAGCCGGCUGAUGGCGGCGGCCGGUGCCGGUGCCCCCGCCACCUGCGACCGGUGCUCUCCGCGUUCCACGUUUGUCCCUGUUGACAUAGCGUACCUCACUUCGUGGAGUGGAUCCUGAGAGACUGGGGAAAGACGAUGGUCUUGUUUUACCUGUCUGUGUUGGUCAGGACAUCCUGAAGAGCAGCACUGUGUCUAUGAAGAGACUGUUGAUGCUCACAAUGAGCUAUAAUAGAAUAUUCUAUUAUUAUUAUUAUUGUUGUA